CAGCCGCCACGGUAAUACGUAGGGUGCAAGCGUUAAUCGGAAUUACUGGGCGUAAAGCGUGCGCAGGCGGUUUGUUAAGACAGAUGUGAAAUCCCCGGGCUCAACCUGGGAACUGCAUUUGUGACUGGCAGGCUAGAGUAUGGCAGAGGGGGGCGGAAUUCCGCGUGUAGCAGUGAAAUGCGUAGAUAUGCGGAGGAACACCGAUGGCGAAGGCAGCCCCCUGGGCCAACACUGACGCUCAUGCACGAAAGCGUGGGGAGCAAACAGGAUUAGAUACCCGCGUAGUCCCUGUCUCUUAUAC
rnacentral:rRNA from 1 species